rnacentral:tRNA from 1 species
GCCUAGGUGGCUCAGUUGGUUAAGUGUCUGACUUUGACUCAGGUCAUGAUCCAUGGUUCGUGGGUUCAAGCCCCACAUCAGGCU